AAUGAACGCUGGCGGCAUGCCUAACACAUGCAAGUCGAACGAGACCUUCGGGUCUAGUGGCGCACGGGUGCGUAACGCGUGGGAACCUGCCCUUAGGUUCGGAAUAACUCCCCGAAAGGGGUGCUAAUACCGGAUAAUGUCUCCGGCCCAAAGAUUUAUCGCCUUUGGAUGGGCCAGCGUUGGAUUAGCUAGUUGGUAGGGUAAAAGCCUACCAAGGCGACGAUCCAUAGCUGGUCUGAGAGGAUGAUCAGCCACACUGGGACUGAGACACGGCCCAGACUCCUACGGGAGGCAGCAGUGGGGGAUAUUGGAAAGUGGGGGGAAGCCUGAUCCAGCAAUGCCGCGUGAGUGAUGAAGUCCUUAGGGUUGUAAAGCUCUUUUACCCGGGAUGAUAAUGACAGUACCGGGAGAAUAAGCUCCGGCUAACUCCGUG
rnacentral:rRNA from 1 species